UACGGAGGGGACUAGCGUUGUUCGGAAUUACUGGGCGUAAAGCGCACGUAGGCGGAUUUGUAAGUCAGGGGUGAAAUCCCGGGGCUCAACCUCGGAACUGCCUUUGAUACUGCAAAUCUCGAGUCCGGAAGAGGUGAGUGGAAUUCCUAGUGUAGAGGUGAAAUUCGUAGAUAUUAGGAAGAACGCCAGUGGCGAAGGCGGCUCACUGGUCCGGUACUGACGCUGAGGUGCGAAAGCGUGGGGAGCAAACAGG
rnacentral:rRNA from 1 species